rnacentral:rRNA from 1 species
GGUAACUACGUGGCAGCGGCGGGGGUAAGACGUAGGGGGCGAGGGUUGCUCGGAGUUACUGGGCGUAAAGGGUCCGUAGGCGGUGCGGUAAGUCGGGAGUGAAAUCUCUGGGCUUAACUCAGAGGCUGCUUCCGAAACUACCGUGCUAGAGUGCGAGAGAGGCAAGUGGAAUUGCGGGUGUAGCGGUGAAAUGCGUAGAUAUCCGCAGGAACAUCCGAGGCGAAAGCGGCUUGCUGGAUCGCAACUGACGCUGAGGGACGAUAGCUAGGGGAGCAAACAGGAUUAGAUACCCCAGUAGUC